UACGUAGGGUGCGAGCGUUGUCCGGAAUCACUGGGCGUAAAGCGCACGUAGGCGGAUUGCUAAGUCAGGGGUGAAAUCCUGGAGCUCAACUCCAGAACUGCCUUUGAUACUGGCGAUCUCGAGUCCGGGAGAGGUGAGUGGAACUGCGAGUGUAGAGGUGAAAUUCGUAGAUAUUCGCAAGAACACCAGUGGCGAAGGCGGCUCACUGGCCCGGUACUGACGCUGAGGUGCGAAAGCGUGGGGAGCAAACAGGG
rnacentral:rRNA from 1 species